AGCGAACGCUGGCGGUAGGCCUAACACAUGCAAGUCGAACGGCAGCACAGUAAGAGCUUGCUCUUACGGGUGGCGAGUGGCGGACGGGUGAGGACUACAUCGGAAUCUACUUUUUCGUGGGGGAUAACGUAGGGAAACUUACGCUAAUACCGCAUACGACCUACGGGUGAAAGCAGGGGAUCUUCUGACCUUGCGCGAUUGAAUGAGCCGAUGUCGGAUUAGCUAGUCGGCGGGGUAAAGGCCCACCAAGGCGACGAUCCGUAGCUGGUCUGAGAGGAUGGUCAGCCACACUGGAACUGAGACACGGUCGUGACUCCUACGGGAGGCAGCAGUGGGGAAUAUUAGACAAUGGACGCAAGCCUGAUCCAGCCAUACCGCGUGGGUGAAGAAGGCCUUCGGGUUGGAAAGCCAUUUUGUUGGGAAAGAAAAGCAGCAGGUUAAUACCCCGCUGUUCUGACGGUACCCAAAGAAUAAGCACCGGCUAACUUCGUG
rnacentral:rRNA from 1 species